rnacentral:rRNA from 1 species
GUGCCCCGCGGUAAUACGGAGGGUGCGAGCGUUGUCCGGAAUCAUUGGGCGUAAAGGGCGCGUAGGUGGCCCGCUCAGCGUGCGGUGAAAGCUCGGGGCUCAACCCCGAGUCGGCCGUGCGAACUGGUGGGCUGGAGCACUGUAGAGGCAGGCGGAAUUCCGGGUGUAGCGGUGGAAUGCGUAGAGAUCCGGAAGAACACCGGUGGCGAAGGCGGCCUGCUGGGCAGUUGCUGACACUGAGGCGCGACAGCGUGGGGAGCAAACAGG